UAACGACUCUCGGCAACGGAUAUCUCGGCUCUCGCAUCGAUGAAGAACGUAGCGAAAUGCGAUACUUGGUGUGAAUUGCAGAAUCCCGUGAACCAUCGAGUCUUUGAACGCAAGUUGCGCCCCAAGCCUUUUGGCUAAGGGCACGUCUGCCUGGGUGUCAC
rnacentral:rRNA from 1 species